rnacentral:rRNA from 1 species
GACGAACCGUACGAACGUUAUUCGGAAUUACUGGGCUUAAAGGGUGCGUAGGCUGCGCGGAAAGUUGGGUGUGAAAUCCCUCGGCUCAACCGAGGAACUGCGCUCAAAACUACCGUGCUCGAGGGAGACAGAGGUGAGCGGAACUUAGGGUGGAGCGGUGAAAUGCGUUGAUAUCCUAAGGAACACCCGUGGCGAAAGCGGCUCACUCGGGUCUCUUCUGACGCUGAGGCACGAAAGCUAGG